rnacentral:rRNA from 1 species
CAGCAGCCACGGGAAUACGAAGGGGGCUAGCGUUGUUCGGAUUUACUGGGCGUAAAGCGCACGUAGGCGGACUUUUAAGUCAGGGGUGAAAUCCCGGGGCUCAACCCCGGAACUGCCUUUGAUACUGGAAGUCUUGAGUAUGGUAGAGGUGAGUGGAAUUCCGAGUGUAGAGGUGAAAUUCGUAGAUAUUCGGAGGAACACCAGUGGCGAAGGCGGCUCACUGGACCAUUACUGACGCUGAGGUGCGAAAGCGUGGGGAGCAAACAGGAUUAGAUACCCGCGUAGUCCCUGUCUCUUACAC